AUCCUACGGGAGGCAGCAGUAGGGAAUCUUCCACAAUGGACGAAAGUCUGAUGGAGCAACGCCGCGUGAGUGAAGAAGGGUUUCGGCUCGUAAAGCUCUGUUGGUAGUGAAGAAAGAUAGAGGGUGUAACUGGCCUUUAUUUGACGGUAAUUACUUCGAAAGUCACCGCUAACUACGUGGCAGCAGCCGCGGUAAUACGUAGGUGGCAAGCGUUGUCCCGAUUUAUUGGGCGUAAA
rnacentral:rRNA from 1 species